GAAGCAACGCGAAGAACCUUACCAGGUCUUGACAUCCUCUGAAAACUCUAGAGAUAGAGCUUCUCCUUCGGGAGCAGAGUGACAGGUGGUGCAUGGUUGUCGUCAGCUCGUGUCGUGAGAUGUUGGGUUAAGUCCCGCAACGAGCGCAACCCUUGAUCUUAGUUGCCAUCAUUAAGUUGGGCACUCUAAGGUGACUGCCGGUGACAAACCGGAGGAAGGUGGGGAUGACGUCAAAUCAUCAUGCCCCUUAUGACCUGGGCUACACACGUGCUACAAUGGACGGUACAAAGAGCUGCAAGACCGCGAGGUGGAGCUAAUCUCAUAAAACCGUUCUCAGUUCGGAUUGUAGGCUGCAACUCGCCUACAUGAAGCUGGAAUCGCUAGUAAUC
rnacentral:rRNA from 1 species